rnacentral:rRNA from 1 species
GAUGAACGCUAGCGGCAGGCCUAAUACAUGCAAGUCGAGGGGUAGAAGAGGCUUGCUUCUUUGGGACCGGCGCACGGGUGCGUAACGCGUAUGCAACCUACCUUCAUCUGGGGGAUAGCCCGGAGAAAUCCGGAUUAAUACCGCAUAGAAUCACAGGAUGGCAUUAUCCAAUGAUCAAACAUUUAUGGGAUGGAGAUGGGCAUGCGUGUCAUUAGCUAGUUGGCGGGGUAACGGCCCACCAAGGCGACGAUGACUAGGGGAUCUGAGAGGAUGGCCCCCCACACUGGUACUGAGACACGGACCAGACUCCUACGGGAGGCAGCAGUAAGGAAUAUUGGUCAAUGGAGGCAACUCUGAACCAGCCAUGCCGCGUGCAGGAAGACUGCCCUAUGGGUCGUAAACUGCUUUUAUUCGGGAAUAAACCUUAUUACGUGUAAUAAGCUGAAUGUACCGAAGGAAUAAGGAUCGGCUAACUCCGUGCCAGCCGCCGCUGUAAAAC